rnacentral:rRNA from 1 species
CCUGCAAUCACAAUGUAUAGGAGGUCUUGCCUGCCCAGUGACAAGUUAAACGGCCGCGGUAUUUUGACCGUGCGAAGGUAGCGCAAUCACUUGUCUUUUAAAUGAAGACCUGUAUGAAUGGCGGAACGAGGGCUUAACUGUCUCCCCUUUCAAGUCAAUGAAAUUGAUCUACCCGUGCAGAAGCGGGUCUAUAGACACAAGACGAGAAGACCCUUUGGAGCUUAAGAUAUAAAAUCAACUACGUCAAGAGCAUAAAACUAAACUAAGUAGCACCUGAUUAAUAUCUUCGGUUGGGGCGACCACGGGAGAAAAUAAAGCUCCCAUGCGGACUGGGAUUAUAUCCUAAAACCAAGAAAGACAUUUCUAAGCCACAGAACAUCUGACCAUAAAGAUCCGGCCACUCGCCGAUCAACGGACCAAGUUACCCUAGGGAUAACAGCGCAAUCCCCUUUCAGAGUCCAUAUCGACAAGGGGGUUUACGACCUCGAUGUUGGAUCAGGACAUCCUAUUGGUGCAGCCGCUAUUAAGGGUUCGUUUGUUCAACGAUUAAAGUCCU